GUUGGCUGGAUACCGUGCUCACAGAGUUCCCAGCAGCCUUCCCAGGAAAGCUGGGAAGUUGUACCUUCUCUGCAUUUGAAAGUCCUGCCUGCAGGCGAGCAGUUUACCAGUGAAGAGACUAUUUGCUGGCUUUUCAGACAAAUUUCUCCUACUUGAGCUGGGAUUUCUCCACAAAGAUCUUCUGAGAAAGAAACAUAGAGGAGAAGAUGAAAGAAAAAAUGGCCAGUUCUCAGAAUGAAAAAAUAAAACCUUGCAGACACCCUGGCUCAAUGAGUACCUGACAACAUCCGUCUUGACCUUGUAACAAGAGACCCCGUGGCUGCACUGCAGGUUUGUGUGUUACCAUAUCUGGGGGCACAACAUAUAUAAAAAACUAUGCCACGUGGUGUUCAGGGCUCAGUUCCUUGGGGACGAACCCAGCGGAGAGGUGCCAGGAGGAAUAACGUUGUUUCCUGGGAAGGAAAGGCUCAGUGUGAGAAUCCUGCUACAAAAGAAAUUUUGAAAAAAGGAAAAAAAAAUUUUUUUUUGCUUCUGAUGGUUCUGCUUUAUGCUUUCACCUAAGUUUUAAGCUUCUCAGAAAUGAUACUCAAGGUUAGGUGUUUAGAACACUCCUCCUGUGUACCCCAGAGACUUCUCUCCCUUCUCUCCAACCUGGCUUCCAUUGGGUAACAACACUUGUCACUUUGAAUUAAAUUCCUGCCUGUAUUGAAAAUAGUCCCUUUGUGACGGGUUCAGACGGGAGGGUGUUGCAUCAGUUUCCUGUUGCUGAUGGAAUCUAGUCCUGGGGUUGCACUCAAGGAGAACCGUUCCCAUUUGUGUCUGAAAUCCACGCUUUCACUGCUCUGGGUAGAAGAGGAUUACGAAAAUGCACAAAUACAUACAACGUCUAUGAGGCACAGAAUGCCCUAGAAUGUUCCUGCUCCUUAGAAUGUGGAAAGGAUACUUGAAAAUAUUCUAGAUACUACAAGACAUGGAAACUCUAUGUGACUGAAGGGUGUAUAUAUCCACUGCAUCCUUAAAGUUGUUUAUAUUCUGAUUUACUGCUUGUGGGUCCCAAGAACGCACAGGGGAUCCUGUGUCCAGAGGUGUGCCUGAGGCACUGCAAUCAAUGUGUUUCCAGUUAUCUGUUGUUAUCUUAUUUUACGGGGCUUUAUGCUCUCUGCCGUAUUUCUCCCCUGUAAUGUUCAUAUUUUCCUUCUAAUCAGGUGAAAUGCUUUUAGGAAGAUUCCCUGAGUGACUUCCAAACACCAUCAUAUUUUUUUUUAAUUUUUUUCCAUAAUAUUUUAUUGGCAAAUUGUUUUCCAUACAA